rnacentral:rRNA from 1 species
GACGAACGCNGGCGGCGUGCUUAACACAUGCAAGUCGAACGAAGAGCGACGGAAGCUUGCUUCUAUCAAUCUUAGUGGCGAACGGGUGAGUAACGCGUAAUCAACCUGCCCUUCAGAGGGGGACAACAGUUGGAAACGACUGCUAAUACCGCAUACGAUCUAACCUCGGCAUCGAGGAUAGAUGAAAGGUGGCCUCUACAUGUAAGCUAUCACUGAAGGAGGGGAUUGCGUCUGAUUAGCUAGUUGGAGGGGUAACGGCCCACCAAGGCGAUGAUCAGUAGCCGGUCUGAGAGGAUGAACGGCCACAUUGGGACUGAGACACGGCCCAGACUCCUACGGGAGGCAGCAGUGGGGAAUCUUCCGCAAUGGACGAAAGUCUGACGGAGCAACGCCGCGUGAGUGAUGACGGCCUUCGGGGUGUAAAGCUCUGUUAAUCGGGACGAAAGGCCUUCUUGCGAAUAGUGAGAAGGAUGACG